CAGCCUUCGUCUCAUGGCUCUGCUCUCCUCCCAUCAUCACAGUCACCAACACAGCAAGUCACACCUGAGCAACAACACACAGUGUGCCAGUAAACACAAACAAGAAGACAAAGAAGGAAAACCUCACUUGGAUUGGUCGAGAAGAUGCAGUGAGGACAUGCUACACUACUUAGUGACGUCACACAGGUGGCGAGCUAAUGGAAGUGUCAACAAACAAGACGUCACACUGAGCGGCCGACGCGAUUGGCUCCGAGCGCAGAUCCCGGCGCUGCACGCGGGGAGAGGAGGAGGACAGCCGCGCGUGCAGUUGCUAUGCAGGU